rnacentral:rRNA from 1 species
GUGAGAAUCUGGCUCCAGGUCGGGGAUAACAGUUGGAAACGACUGCUAAUACCGGAUGUGCCGAGAGGUGAAAGAUUUAUCGCCUGGAGAUGAGCUCGCGUCUGAUUAGCUAGUUGGCGGUGUAAGGGACCACCAAGGCAUCGAUCAGUAGCUGGUCUGAGAGGAUGAUCAGCCACACUGGGACUGAGACACGGCCCAGACUCCUACGGGAGGCAGCAGUGGGGAAUUUUCCGCAAUGGGCGAAAGCCUGACGGAGCAAUACCGCGUGAGGGAGGAAGGCUCUUGGGUCGUAAACCUCUUUUCUCAAGGAAGAAGAAAGUGACGGUACUUGAGGAAUAAGCAUCGGCUAACUCCGUGCCAGCAGCCGCGGUAAUACGGAGGAUGCAAGCGUUAUCCGGAAUGAUUGGGCGUAAAGGGUCUGCAGGUGGAACUGAAAGUCUGCUGUUAAAGAGUUUGGCUUAACCAAAUAAAAGCGGUGGAAACUACAGAACUAGAGUGCGGUAGGGGCAAAAGGAAUUCCUGGUGUAGCGGUGAAAUGCGUAGAUAUCAGGAAGAACACCGGUGGCGAAAGCGUUUU